rnacentral:rRNA from 1 species
AGCGAACGCUGGCGGCAGGCCUAACACAUGCAAGUCGAACGGACCCUUCGGGGUUAGUGGCGGACGGGUGAGUAACACGUGGGAACGUGCCUUUAGGACCGGAAUAGCUCCUGGAAACGGGUGGUAAUGCCGAAUGUGCCCUCCGGGGGAAAGAUUUAUCGCCUUUAGAGCGGCCCGCGUCUGGUUAGCUGGUUGGUGAGGUAACGGCUCAACAAGGCGACGAUCAGUAGCUGGUCUGAGAGGAUGACCAGCCACACUGGGACUGAGACACGGCCCAGACUCCUACGGGAGGCAGCAGUGGGGAAUCUUGCGCAAUGGGCGAAAGCCUGACGCAGCCAUGCCGCGUGAAUGAUGAAGGUCUUAGGAUUGUAAAAUUCUUUCACCGGGGACGAUAAUGACGGUACCCGGAGAAGAAGCCCCGGCUAACUUCGUG